UUCCAACAGGAACAAAGUUCCAUCAUUGGCCCAAUACUCUCCUCUCUCUGCAAGCUCCCUUGGGCAAUCUGAAACAAAUUUUUGCCUUCAAACAUUAUCUUCAGCCCUAAUCUGUAAUUUGACUCAGAUGAAGAAAUGAAAAGACUCUCGGAGGCCAAGUAACUUGUCUAAGGAAUUGUAACCCAUCUUAUCCCAGAGUUUCCACUUCUGAAAGACAGAAACCAUGAGAAAUG